rnacentral:rRNA from 1 species
ACGAACGCUGGCGGCGUGCCUAAUACAUGCAAGUAGAACGCUGAAGAGAGGAGCUUGCUCUUCUUGGAUGAGUUGCGAACGGGUGAGUAACGCGUAGGUAACCUGCCUUGUAGCGGGGGAUAACUAUUGGAAACGAUAGCUAAUACCGCAUAACAAUGGAUGACACAUGUCAUUUAUUUGAAAGGGGCAAUUGUUCCACUACAAGAUGGACCUGCGUUGUAUUAGCUAGUAGGUGAGGUAAUGGCUCACCUAGGCGACGAUACAUAGCCGACCUGAGAGGGUGAUCGGCCACACUGGGACUGAGACACGGCCCAGACUCCUACGGGAGGCAGCAGUAGGGAAUCUUCGGCAAUGGGGGCAACCCUGACCGAGCAACGCCGCGUGAGUGAAGAAGGUUUUCGGAUCGUAAAGCUCUGUUGUAAGUCAAGAACGGGUGUGAGAGUGGAAAGUUCACACUAUGACGGUAGCUUACCAGAAAGGGACGGCUAACUACGUGCCAGCAGCCGCGGUAAUACGUAGGUCCCGAGCGUUGUCCGGAUUUAUUGGGCGUAAAGCGAGCGCAGGCGGUUUGAUAAGUCUGAAGUUAAAGGCUGUGGCUCAACCAUAGUUCGCUUUGGAAACUGUCAAACUUGAGUGCAGAAGGGGAGAGUGGAAUUCCAUGUGUAGCGGUGAAAUGCGUAGAUAUAUGGAGGAACACCGGUGGCGAAAGCGGCUCUCUGGUCUGUAACUGACGCUGAGGCUCGAAAGCGUGGGGAGCGAACAGGAUUAGAUACCCUGGUAGUCCACGCCGUAAACGAUGAGUGCUAGGUGUUGGAUCCUUUCCGGGAUUCAGUGCCGCAGCUAACGCAUUAAGCACUCCGCCUGGGGAGUACGACCGCAAGGUUGAAACUCAAAGGAAUUGACGGGGGCCCGCACAAGCGGUGGAGCAUGUGGUUUAAUUCGAAGCAACGCGAAGAACCUUACCAGGUCUUGACAUCCCGAUGCUAUUUCUAGAGAUAGAAAGUUACUUCGGUACAUCGGUGACAGGUGGUGCAUGGUUGUCGUCAGCUCGUGUCGUGAGAUGUUGGGUUAAGUCCCGCAACGAGCGCAACCCCUAUUGUUAGUUGCCAUCAUUCAGUUGGGCACUCUAGCGAGACUGCCGGUAAUAAACCGGAGGAAGGUGGGGAUGACGUCAAAUCAUCAUGCCCCUUAUGACCUGGGCUACACACGUGCUACAAUGGUUGGUACAACGAGUUGCGAGUCGGUGACGGCGAGCUAAUCUCUUAAAGCCAAUCUCAGUUCGGAUUGUAGGCUGCAACUCGCCUACAUGAAGUCGGAAUCGCUAGUAAUCGCGGAUCAGCACGCCGCGGUGAAUACGUUCCCGGGCCUUGUACACACCGCCCGUCACACCACGAGAGUUUGUAACACCCGAAGUCGGUGAGGUAACCUUUUGGAGCCAGCCGCCUAAGGUGGGACAGAUGAUUGGGGUG